UUAUACACCAAUGAUACUCAACCUCUUUAUGGUGUGUGUCAAAAUCUCCAUACUGUUGUUGCUCCCAAAUGUCUUGAUGGUACAAUAGUUGAAUAUUUGGGUAAGCAACAUGCUCUUCUUCAUUAUUUUAAUGAAUUAUUGCCUCCUGGCACCACUCCUACUCAAGAACUAAAGCAACGGUCCAAGUUCUUCAUGUUAUUGGGCUUAGAUGGCCUUCCUUAUGAUUAUUCUCAUGUCCGUGAUCAGAUUUUGGGAUCUCGUGUUGUUCCCAAUUUUACUUCUACUUGUUCUACCUUUCUACGUGUGCCAGGUAUACAUAUCACUGAUAUACCUCUUUCAGUUGAUGACUCUUCUGCUUUAAUCUAUCAACGUUAUGAUUGUACUCGCCCUUCUAAGCCGGGCAAAGGGCGUCACAAGUGUGACCAUUGUGGCAAACUUGGUCACAAAAUUGAUCGGUGUUAUGCCUUACAUGGUCGUCCUCCUAAAUCUGUUGCGGUUGUCGAAAAUGUUCCUGUGCAACCUUCAACCAUGGACUCUACUUCAUCUGAUAUCUCAGGUUAACCUGCAAUUUUCAAUGAAUUUCUUAAAUGGUGUGAGGAUCGUUAGAACUCUCUGGUUCCACUGCUUCUGUUGCACAUUCAGGUACACCUUUUGCUCGUCUUAUUCCAAUUCUCUUGGUCCUUGGGUUCUUGAAUCAGGUGCCACCAAUCAUAUCGUUGGUAAUAAAUCUUUCUUCUUCUUCUUUGUCUACCUCCGGUUAUUUACCAACCAUUACCAUGACCAAUGGCUCUAGGGUCUUAUCCCAUGGUGAUGGUACUAUUCAUCUUCCCUUUUUAUCUAUUGAUAAUGUUCUUUAUGUUCCUGGGUCUCUCCUUAACAUAUUAUCCAUUAGUCGUCUAACUCGUUCCCUUGAUUGUGUUAUUUCUUUUACCAAAGAUUCUAUUUGUUUACAAGAUCGGAGUUCUGGAAGGAUGAUUGACAUCAGAUGUGAGUCUCAUGGCCUUUACCACCUACGAACAUUUUCGCAUGUUGACACGGUUAUGGAUUCUCCAUCUCUCAUUCAUGCUCAGCUAGGUCAUCAUAGUCUUGCCAAGAUGCAACACCUUGUUCCAAAUUUGUCCAGUGUCUAGUUUGUUUUGUGAGUCGUGUCAUUUAGGUAAACAAAGUCGUAGUUCUUUUCCUAGUAGUGUUUCACAAUGUUUUUCAUCCCCUUUUGCUUUAGUUCACUCUAACAUUUGAGGACCAAGUCGUGUUAAGUCUAAUUUAGGGUUUUAGUAUUUUGUUACUUUUAUUGAUGAUUAUUCAAGAUGUACUUGGUUAUUUUUAAUGAAAUCUCGUUUGAGUUGUUUUCUAUAUUUCAAUCUUUUUAUAACGAAAUUAAAAAUCAAUUUGGAGUUUCAAUUCGAAUCUUACACAGUGAUAAUGCUCAUGAGUAUCUUUCUCAUUCUUUUACCACUUUUAUGAAAUCUCAUGGCAUUCUUCAUCAAACCUCAUGUGCUUAUACCCCUAAACAAAAUGGGGCGGCUGAGCGCAAGAAUAGACACCUUGUUGAAACUACUCGUACUAUGUUACUUCAUGGUCACGUUCCUCAACGUUUUUGGGGUGAUGUUGUUCUUAGUACAUGUUAUCUAAUUAAUUGUAUGCCAUCUUUGGUUUUAGAGAAUACAUUCCUCAUUCUUUUUUAUUUCCUCAUGAACCUCUUCAUCCUGUACCAUUUAAAGUUUUUGGGUCUACAUGUUAUGUUCACAAUUUUUGUCCUGGUCUAGAUAAAUUAUCCAUUAGGUCACACAAAUGUGCUUUUUUAGGGUUUACUAGAUCUCAAAAAGGAUAUAAAUGUUUUUCACUCUCUCUUAACCGUUAUUUCAUUUUUGCAGAUAUCACCUUCAUUUAGUCUUUCUAUUUUAAUUCUUUAUCUUUUCCACCUAUGUCUCCAUCUAAACAAGUACAUAUUCUAGUUGUCUUUGAUCCUCGUGUUAUGUCUAGCGUGCCUGGAGAUUCUCCUCCUCCGCCACCUCUUCAAUUUUAUAGUCGUCGUCAGUCUUCCCAUUGUCCACAGGAUGACUCUCUAGUGUCAAAUCCUCUGUCCCUUCCGGCUCCGAUAGUUGAACCUGAUAUUCCCAUUGCCAUCUGUAAAUGUAUAUGUUCUACCCGUAAUCCCUCUCCACAUUAUAAUGCUUUAAGCUACCAUCGACUAUCUCAACCUUUUUAUAUUUGCCUUUCGUCUAUUUCUUUUGUGUCCAUUCCAAAAUCUGUAGGUGAUGCCUUAGCUCAUCCUGGUUCGCGUCAAGCCAUGCUUGAUGAAAUGAGUGCGCUUUAGAAUAAACUUGGGACCUCGUUCCUUUACCUCCUGGGAAAUUUGUUGUUGGUUGCAGGUGGGUCUUUGCUAUUAAAAUUUGUCCUAAUGGUACUAUUGAUUGUCUCAAAGCUCAUCUUGU
rnacentral:lncRNA from 1 species